rnacentral:rRNA from 1 species
CCUACGGGGGGCAGCAGUGAGGAAUAUUGGUCAAUGGGCGCGAGCCUGAACCAGCCAAGUCGCGUGAGGGAGGACGGCCCUACGGGUUGUAAACCUCUUUUGCCGGGGAGCAACGGGCGUCACGUGUGGCGCCACUGAGAGUACCCGGAGAAAAAGCAUCGGCUAACUCCGUGCCAGCAGCCGCGGUAAUACGUAUGGAGCAAGCGUUAUCCGGAUUUACUGGGUGUAAAGGGAGCGCAGGCGGCCUUGCAAGUCUGAUGUGAAAGGCCGGGGCCCAACCCCGGGACUGCAUUGGAAACUGCGAG